rnacentral:rRNA from 1 species
AUUGAACGCUGGCGGCAGGCUUAACACAUGCAAGUCGAGCGAGCGGCGGACGGGUGAGUAAUAUCGGGGAAACUGCCUGAUGGAGGGGGAUAAAUACUGGAAACGGUAGCUAAUACCGCAUACCAUGAUAUAUGCCCAGAUGGGAUUAGCUUGUAGGUGGGGUAAUGGCUCACCUAGGCGACGAUCCCUAGCUGGUCUGAGAGGAUGACCAGCCAAACUGGAACUGAGACACGGCCCAGACUCCUACGGGAGGCAGCAGUGGGGAAUAUUGCACAAUGGGCGCAAGCCUGAUGCAGCCAUGCCGCGUGUAUGAAGAAGGCCUUAGGGUUGUAAAGCACUUGCAGUCAGGAGGCGUUACCCGCAGAAGAAGCACCGGCUAACUCCGUGCCAGCAGCCGCGGUAAUAC